rnacentral:lncRNA from 1 species
AUUCAAGAAUCUCUCAUCAUCUCCAAAUCUCCUACUGACCUGAAGUUCCUGCAAUAAAUUGUAAAUGUUAAUAGGACUAUCAAUAUCUAAUACCCUAGUUAUUAUAUCACAACUUGAGAAGUUGCAAGGAGUUAUCAUAUAAUUAUCUUGCUUAGCAACCAAUUGCUUCUUCUUCUUUGACCUGUUCGGAUCAAGGAAAGCAAUGUAUUGAGGA